rnacentral:rRNA from 1 species
GACGAACGCUGGCGGCGUGCUUAACACAUGCAAGUCGAACGGAAAGGCCCUGCUUUUGUGGGGUGCUCGAGUGGCGAACGGGUGAGUAACACGUGAGUAACCUGCCCUUGACUUUGGGAUAACUUCAGGAAACUGGGGCUAAUACCGGAUAGGAGCUCCUGCUGCAUGGUGGGGGUUGGAAAGUUUCGGCGGUUGGGGAUGUACUCGCGGCUUAUCAGCUUGUUGGUGGGGUAGUGGCUUACCAAGGCUUUGACGGGUAGCCGGCCUGAGAGGGUGACCGGCCACAUUGGGACUGAGAUACGGCCAAGACUCCUACGGGAGGCAGCAGUGGGGAAUAUUGCACAAGGGGCGGAAGCCUGAUGCAGCAACGCCGCGUGCGGGAUGACGGCCUUCGGGUUGUAAACCGCUUUCGCCUGUGACGAAGCGUGAGUGACGGUAAUGUGUAAAGAAGCACCGGCUAACUACGUG